UACGUAGGUGGCAAGCGUUAUCCGGAUUUACUGGGUGUAAAGGGCGAGUAGACGGCGUUGCAAGUCAGAUGUGAAAGGCUAGGGCUCAACCUUAGGAGAGCAUCUGAAACUGUAAUGCUAGAGUGCAGGAGAGGUAAGCGGAAUUCCUAGUGUAGCGGUGAAAUGCGUAGAUAUUAGGAGGAACACCAGUGGCGAAGGCGGCUUACUGGACUGUAACUGACGUUGAGGCGCGAAAGUGUGGGGAGCAAACA
rnacentral:rRNA from 1 species